UGGGGAAUUUUGGACAAUGGGCGCAAGCCUGAUCCAGCCAUGCCGCGUGCGGGAAGAAGGCCUUCGGGUUGUAAACCGCUUUUGUCAGGGAAGAAAUCUUCUGAGUUAAUACCUCGGGAGGAUGACGGUACCUGAAGAAUAAGCACCGGCUAACUACGUGCCAGCAGCCGCGGUAAUACGUAGGGUGCAAGCGUUAAUCGGAAUUACUGGGCGUAAAGCGUGCGCAGGCGGUUUUGUAAGACAGAGGUGAAAUCCCCGGGCUCAACCUGGGAACUGCCUUUGUGACUGCAAGGCUUGAGUGCGGCAGAGGGGGGAUGGAAUUCCGCGUGUAGCAGUGAGAUGCGUAGAUAUGCGGAGGAACACCGAUGGCGAAGGCAAUCCCCUGGGCCUGCACUGACGCUCAUGCACGAAAGCGUGGGGAGCAAACAGGAUUAGAUACCCUGGUAGUCCACGCCCUAAACGAUGUCAACUGGUUGUUGGGAAGGUUCCUUCUCAGUAACGUAGCUAACGCGUGAAGUUGACCGCCUGGGGAGUACGGCCGCAAGGUUGAAACUUAAAUGAAUUGAC
rnacentral:rRNA from 1 species